UCUCCGUAGGUGAACCUGCGGAGGGAUCAUUACAGAGUUCUCGCCCUCGCGGGUAGCACUCCCACCCACCGUUAUCGUUACUGUGUUGCUUUGCCGGCCCGCCGGGCCCCGCUCGGCCGCCGGCUCCGGCUGGCGCGCGCCCGCCAGAGGUCCCGCAAACUCUGAAUGUUAGUGUCGUCUGAGUACUAUAUAAUAGUUAAAACUUUCAACAACGGAUCUCUUGGUUCUG
rnacentral:misc_RNA from 1 species